rnacentral:snRNA from 1 species
AUCACUUUCUCAGCCUUUUAGUUAAGAUAAAGUGUACUAUUUGUUUUUAUCAGUUUAAUAACUAAUAUGUGAAUCAUAUAUUCGCUUUUGAUAUUAAGAGCAACUCCAA